rnacentral:rRNA from 1 species
CUACGGGGCGCUCCAGUGGGGAAUAUUGCACAAUGGAGGAAACUCUGAUGCAGCAACGCCGCGUGGAGGAUGACACUUUUCGGAGCGUAAACUCCUUUUAUAUAGGAAGAAGAUGACGGUACUAUAUGAAUAAGCGCCGGCUAACUCCGUGCCAGCAGCCGCGGUAAUACGGAGGGCGCAAGCGUUACUCGGAAUCACUGGGCGUAAAGAGCGUGUAGGCGGAUUAAAAAGUCAGAAGUGAAAUCCUAUAGCUUAACUAUAGAACUGCUUCUGAAACUCUUAAUCUAGAAUAUGGGAGAGGUAGAUGGAAUUUCUGGUGUAGGGGUAAAAUCCGUAGAGAUCAGAAGGAAUACCGAUUGCGAAGGCGAUCUACUAGAACAUUAUUGACGCUGAGACGCGAAAGCGUGGGGAGCAAACAGGAUUAAGAUACCCUUGUAGUC